GGGUUGUGAGGUUAAGCGAAUAAGCGUACACGGUGGAUGCCUAGGCAAUCAGAGGCGAUGAAGGACGUGCUAAUCUGCGAAAAGCGUCGGUAAGGUGAUAUGAACCGUUAUACCCGACGAUAUCCGAAUGGGGAAACCCAGUAUCCAAUGGAUACUAUCAUUAACUGAAUCCAUAGGUUAAUGAGGCGAACCGGGAGAACUGAAACAUCUCAGUACCCCGAGGAAAAGAAAUCAACCGAGAUUCCCCUAGUAGCGGCGAGCGAACGGGGAGCAGCCCAGAGUCUUAAUCAAUAGCAGUGUCAGGAGAACGGUCUGGAAAGUCCGGCAGUAAAGGGUGAUAGCCCCGUAUCUGAAGAUGCUGUUAUUGUGAACUCGACGAGUAGGGCGGGACACGUGUUAUCCUGUCUGAAUAUGGGGGGACCAUCCUCCAAGGCUAAAUACUCCUGAUUGACCGAUAGUGAACCAGUACCGUGAGGGAAAGGCGAAAAGAACCCCGGCGAGGGGAGUGAAAAAGAACCUGAAACCGUGUACGUACAAGCAGUAGGAGCCUCUUUAUGGGGUGACUGCGUACCUUUUGUAUAAUGGGUCAGCGACUUAUAUUCUGUAGCAAGGUUAACCGUAUAGGGGAGCCGUAGGGAAACCGAGUCUUAACUGGGCGAAUGAGUUGCAGGGUAUAGACCCGAAACCCGGUGAUCUAUCCAUGGGCAGGUUGAAGGUUGGGUAACACUAACUGGAGGACCGAACCGACUAAUGUUGAAAAAUUAGCGGAUGACUUGUGGAUGGGGGUGAAAGGCCAAUCAAACCGGGAGAUAGCUGGUUCUCCCCGAAAGCUAUUUAGGUAGCGCCUCGUGAACUCAUCUUCGGGGGUAGAGCACUGUUUCGACUAGGGGGUCAUCCCGACUUACCAACUCGAUGCAAACUGCGAAUACCGAAGAAUGUUAUCACGGGAGACACACGGCGGGUGCUAACGUCCGUCGUGAAGAGGGAAACAACCCAGACCGCCAGCUAAGGUCCCAAAGUCAUGGUUAAGUGGGAAACGAAGUGGGAAGGCUCAGACAGCCAGGAUGUUGGCUUAGAAGCAGCCAUCAUUUAAAGAAAGCGUAAUAGCUCACUGGUCGAGUCGGCCCGCGCGGAAGAUGUAACGGGGCUAAACCAUGCACCGAAGCUGCGGCAGCGACACAAAGUGUUGUUGGGUAGGGGAGCGUUCUGUAAGCCUGCGAAGGUGUACUGUGAGGUAUGCUGGAGGUAUCAGAAGUGCGAAUGCUGACAUAAGUAACGAUAAUGCGGGUGAAAAACCCGCACGCCGGAAGACCAAGGGUUCCUGUCCAACGUUAAUCGGGGCAGGGUGAGUCGACCCCUAAGGCGAGGCUGAAAAGCGUAGUCGAUGGGAAACGGGUUAAUAUUCCCGUACUGGUGGUAACUGCGAUGGGGGAACGGAGAAGGCUAGGUUGUCCGGGCGACGGUCGUCCCGGUUCAAGCAGGUAGGCAGAGUGAUUAGGCAAAUCCGGUCACUUAAUGCUGAGAUGUGAUGACGAACCACCAAGGUGGUGAAGCAAUUGAUGCCCCGCUUCCAGGAAAAGCCUCUAAGCUUCAGGUUACCAACAAUCGUACCCCAAACCGACACAGGUGGUCAGGUAGAGAAUACUCAGGCGCUUGAGAGAACUCGGGUGAAGGAACUAGGCAAAAUGGUGCCGUAACUUCGGGAGAAGGCACGCUGGCGGUAGGUAAAGUCCCUUGCGGACAGAGCUGAAGCCAGUCGAAGAUACCAGCUGGCUGCAACUGUUUAUUAAAAACACAGCACUGUGCAAACACGAAAGUGGACGUAUACGGUGUGACGCCUGCCCGGUGCUGGAAGGUUAAUUGAUGGGGUUAGCCGUAAGGCGAAGCUCCUGAUCGAAGCCCCA
rnacentral:rRNA from 1 species